CCAACAGUCUUUUUCAAGACUACCCACAGUCCUUUUCAGGACUAC
rfam:Strongylocentrotus purpuratus Contig79456_fixed, whole genome shotgun sequence.